CAGUGGAGGGUCGGCGAGGUGCAGCCCUUCCCUCGUCUCCCUCUCAAUCCCCCAUCUCUCAAUUCUUAUGAAGAAGACACAAAGCCCCAAAUUUACUCACAAAAUCGUGCCCUAGCUGCUCCUCCGGCGAAUCGCUGCUGCCAGUGGAGGGUCGGCGAGGUGCAGCCCUUCCCUCUCUCAUCCUCUUCACUCAAUCCUUCUCAUUUUCUCAAACUCCCAACCUCAAAAUCGUACCGAGCCCUAAUUAUCUCUCUCUACCUGAACCCAGCGAUGUCACCGCGGUUCCGGUUCGAUGUGCCGUCGUGCCGUCGGCUUGGGUUCCACAGAUUGUGUUUUGCUUCAAAGGAAAUCAGUAAGGGCUGUCGUCGACGCUGGGUCCUGAAACGGUGAGGUUCGCCGUUCUAACUUGAUGGGAACAGGGCAGUCGGGCUUCCUAAGAGCUAAGUCUUACUCUUGUCUCAUUUCUUAUCCAUUGUGAUAUAGUAUCAAUGUAAGCAUGUUGACUUCUUUGAGUAAGAAAAUAUCAGAACUUAACAUCUAUCAGUGUAUGUCGUGGCUAAAAUCUUAGAGGUUGGGAUCUCGCUUGGGUGCUUGUAUCAGAUAUUAUUAUGAGUCUCGCUUAGUUGAAUCUCUUCGUAAGUCAGAUACAUGUCAAAAUCUUAGAGGGAUUAGCUUACAUUAGUGGCAAGACCGGUCAUGCUUUAGACCAGAAUCCGUUUGUUCUGAUUGUUGGAAGAUGUGUAGAUUGCAUUUGGUAUUAGAUGCUAACAGGCGUGCUCACUUAUAUCCGAGAACUGAGGAGGCUCUUGAUAUAAUUUCCUUUGGUUUCAUUUUUCUUCUUCAGGUAGUUCAUACUCAAGCAAAGGUGACAGCAGACCAGGAAUGAAACUUGACCACCAACUUGAAGAAAAGUAAAGUGACAUGUUCUUCAGAAGGAAUGACUGCUGAAUAUAUUUAAUAGGAAUCAAGUUUCAGGCUGCAAAGCGCCAGGGAGAUGUUAUUCACUACUCUUGGCUCCUUGAAUGUUGUAUGCAGAAGCAGCUUCUCCCUUUACAGCCAAAGUACUUUCUUUUUCUAUCUGAGGCAACUAAGAAAAAGCUGGAAGAAGAAGUUGAUGAGUUUUCGGACUCCUACUAUUUGGAUUUAAAUGUGACAGAACUGGAACAUGUACAGAAAUUUUGUUAUACGUGUUCAAUUUUAAGAGAAGAUAUUAAACAACAUUGACAAGAUUGAAGAUUCUAAAGCAAAAGAGUACUGCAAGAAAUUCUGUCCCAGGGAGGAGUGGGUUCGCUUUCAUGGUUGUCGUGUUUACUUCCACCUACCCACUACCCAGGCAAUCUUUAAAAUACCGAAACUGGGAAGUUCCAUUUGAACUUGCUAUUAGAAGGAUGAAGAUUGAAAUCUGCAUUGGUGGUGGCAGUAUAGCAGACACUCUUUCUCAUGCUAUUCAUUUGGUGAUUGUGUCUAUUCCAGAACUUGGUUACGACUUUGAUACACUUUUGAAUAGGUGAGCUAUCCCAUGAAAAGCAACUUUAUUUUAACGGUUUCUGGUAAAAUAUAAUCUGGCUGCAGAAAUGAAGUAUAUCACACUUUUGGAAACGAGUGGUGCUGGAAAAUCGACGCUGCUGCUGUGAGGGGGCAAUCCGGAUCUGAAGUGAAGGCUUCAGAAUCGCAGAAAAGCUGGCGGCUACAAUAGCUUGGAGGGUCGCUGCUCCUAAUGGUAGCAUUCCUUCUAAUGACAUGGUAAACAUGUUUACCUUAACUAGUUUUUUGUUUGUCUACGACCUUCUCUGCAGU